AAUCCCGAAGAGAUUUGGGAGUGCUCGCAAGAGAACCGGAACACAGGUGCUGCAUGGCUGUCGUCAGCUCGUGUCGUGAGAUGUUGGGUUAAGUCCCGCAACGAGCGCAACCCUUGUCAUUAGUUGCCAUCAUUUGGUUGGGCACUCUAAUGAGACUGCCGGUGACAAACCGGAGGAAGGUGGGGAUGACGUCAAGUCCUCAUGGCCCUUAUGGGUAGGGCUUCACACGUCAUACAAUGGUCGGUACAGAGGGUUGCCAACCCGCGAGGGGGGAGCUAAUCCCACAAAGCCGAUCGUAGUCCGGAUCGCAGUCUGCAACUCAACUGCGUGAAGUCGGAAUCGCUAGUAAUCGUGGAUCAGCAUGUCACGGUGAAUACGUUCCCGGGUCUU
rnacentral:rRNA from 1 species